AGAGUUUGAUCCUGGCUCAGGACGAACGCUGGCGGCGUGCCUAAUACAUGCAAGUCGAGCGAGCUUGCCUAGAUGAUUUUAGUGCUUGCACUAAAUGAAACUAGAUACAAGCGAGCGGCGGACGGGUGAGUAACACGUGGGUAACCUGCCCAAGAGACUGGGAUAACACCUGGAAACAGAUGCUAAUACCGGAUAACAACACUAGACGCAUGUCUAGAGUUUGAAAGAUGGUUCUGCUAUCACUCUUGGAUGGACCUGCGGUGCAUUAGCUAGUUGGUAAGGUAACGGCUUACCAAGGCAAUGAUGCAUAGCCGAGUUGAGAGACUGAUCGGCCACAUUGGGACUGAGACACGGCCCAAACUCCUACGGGAGGCAGCAGUAGGGAAUCUUCCACAAUGGACGAAAGUCUGAUGGAGCAACGCCGCGUGAGUGAAGAAGGGUUUCGGCUCGUAAAAGCUCUGUUGGUAGUGAAGAAAGAUAGAGGUAGUAACUGGCCUUUAUUUGACGGUAAUUACUUAGAAAGUCACGGCUAACUACGUGCCCAGCAGCCCGCGGUAAUACGUAGGUGGCAAGCGUUGUCCGGAUUUAUUGGGCGUAAAGCGAGUGCAGGCGGUUCAAUAAGUCUGAUGUGAAAGCCUUCGGCUCAACCGGAGAAUUGCAUCAGAAACUGUUGAACUUGAGUGCAGAAGAGGAGAGUGGAACUCCAUGUGUAGCGGUGGAAUGCGUAGAUAUAUGGAAGAACACCAGUGGCGAAGGCGGCUCUCUGGUCUGCAACUGACGCUGAGGCUCGAAAGCAUGGGUAGCGAACAGGAUUAGAUACCCUGGUAGUCCAUGCCGUAAACGAUG
rnacentral:rRNA from 1 species